GCGAAGAAAGGCUUCCUCGAUUCCAAAGGUAAGCCAAAUUUACUUUUAACAACAUAUAGAGUUUGAACAAAAUACAACAGAUUUUCAUAUGUAGAGUAAAAUCUAUUGAUAACUCAUUGUAUACAUUCAACAUGUACAUAUAGAUUACACUUGAAAAUAUUGAGCAAUGACCUAACACUUUGAGGUCAAUGCCUUUGUAUGCAUGCUAUCUCCACUAGUCUUGUUAAAUACAGAAAAGAUCAAGAGGAACCAAUGAAAUUAAAUCGUUAAUAGUUGAGUGUUCCUUCGACCUAGGCAACACUAAACCAGACUCGUACUACACAUGGAAUUUGGAGAACUUUCUCUUCAAAGGUACAGAUAUAAAACUUUGAUUAGGCUGAGGAUUACAAUUUUGGUCCCAAAACCACAGCUGCAGACCUUUGCCCUGUCUUGGAAUUCCAGCUCAGAUCUUAAUAUACAAAAAAACCAAUCAGAAUCUCAUGACCAAUAAAUAAAGGGAAAGAACAAGAAGAUAUAAAACAUAACCAAUCAGAAUCUCAUGACCAAUUAUACAAUCAGAAUCUCAAUGACGAAUCAGAUUAUGUUCAGAUAACCUUAAGGUGAGUCUCAACAAUUUUAGACAGAAUUGCACUUCUCAUUUCACAAGACACCCCCUUGAAAGAGUAUGUGUGCUGUAUACAUUAUCAUUAGUAGUAAUAUGUAUAUUCUAAGCGUCUGACAUGUUUCAUCUUUUAUCUUAUGUUACAGGGGUUGGUGAUUCAAAAUUGAAUUUUCAUUGUCAGAGUGCAAAAAUCAUCAACUCAUGCGAGCAGUAACAACAUGGCUAGUAUGGAUUUCCAGCUCAAAGGGGAUGGUCACUUUCAAGAAUACAUAUAGGUUAGAGUAUGUGCAUACUUAUGGUUAGAAAUCAAUUCCCUUGGGGAAAUAAUUGAAAAGUUUUUUAUCCUGCAAAUAUCUGAAAGGAAUAGGCCUUUAUAUAAUCUGUUUUCUAGAAUCUGUAAACUAUAAUUUUUCGUGCGUUGCCAUUUGAGAAUAUCAUUUAAUUUUAGUUUCCUAGCCUAAUUCAUUUAAUAGGUUGGAGUCAAUUUGUGAUAUAGAACUACGGCUAAAGAGUAAAACGGAUAAUUCAGUUGGAGUAGUAGUAUAGUUGAGUGUGUUUAAGUGUUUGUUCCGUGGUGAAAUCUCUUACAUGUUCUAUAUAUGGGCCAAGUAGUUCACCUUUCUUCUAGAUAGUUCAUCUCCCUUCAGUUCAUUUUCUACCCCCAAAUAUCCUUUACACCAAGAACAAUGUGGAUAAUCUGUUGGAAAGUUUUAAUCUCUAGGCUUCUUUGGCAUAUUCAAAGAUGCAGGCACGGCAACCUUCUCAGCAAAGAAGAUCUUCACCUUAAUCACUUUUGCCUAAUCUUCCCUUUGUCCCUUUUCAUGUUUUCACACUUGCACCUAUUGCACUUUCUGAUGAAGAAGAUAGAUUACACCCCUUCUGGUAGUUCUGAGCAUAACGGGAAUGUUCAUCACUUAGUUGUCCUAUGGACAAUCAUCUCCAUAUCAAAUGCUCCGUACCUUAUUUUUGUUUUCAUCCUACUUCCAUUGUUGUGUACACACUAUACAGUAGUAUGCAUGUAUGCUGGUAAAGCAUUGUAAAUUCAGGGAGCUUCUGAAUGCAGUACCAAAGGUGUCCAAAAGGUUUAUGAUCACCCCUUUGAUCUGGCCCAUGUUAUUCUCCCAGAUAUAUCGCUAUGAUAUUACUAAACUAUGUGUUGUGGCCUGUGAAAAAUUUAGAGGGGUCAUCAGUGUCGUAGAGAGUUAUUCUGUUUAUUGGACUGGGUGUGCUAUUUUGCUUGGUUCUGUGAAUCUUUCUACAUAGGAAAAGCCAAAAAGGCUUAAUGGAGCCAUUGCUGCUACUAUUAUCAGCUCUCUGUAAUCACAAUACUAGGAUCAUUUUAUCUACUUGUUGUGAUUGGAAACUAGUCCGGAAUUAUAAGUAAGGUGAGUUAUUUAGUGUGUACUUUUAUGUAUUAUGGCUUCCAAAGUUGCAACCUUUUCUUCACCAAAUAAAAAUUAACUUUUAUUUUGAAUCAAAAGCUUCCAUGGCUAAGCUAUCAGUUUCUCCAAAUAAAAAUUAACAUUUGAAUCAAAAGCUUCCAUGGCUAAGCUAUCAGUUUUAAGUUGUUCCAAGACAAAUUUCACCCAAAAAAAAAAUAUAUAUAUAUAUAUUGGUGUAUAAGGAAGAACAUCAGAACAACAACAACACAGAAAGCGUAAAUUGAUAAUUAAUUCAGAGAGAAAAUGUAACAUACCUAUUCAUAUUCAAUCGAUAAGACCAUAACCCUUCUUUUCUCUUUAAUCAUUUCUGGAGAGAGAGAGAGAGUUCAUGGCUUUGCUAUACAGUA
rnacentral:lncRNA from 1 species